rnacentral:lncRNA from 1 species
AUGUACUGUCAGUCAACUUGCGUUCUCCUCACCCAGAAAACAAAAAACGCCACCAUGAUGCUAUCCACUUCUAAUCUAUUAUCUUUCACUUUUUUUGUUCUCCCAUGGUUCUGUGGAUGUAAUUAGGGGUAUCCUAGUAUUAAUUUGAUCACCGAUAUAUAAAACGAAGAAAGAAAAAGUCACUUAGCCAAGAAAGUUGAGGGGUAUCCCGGGCUAUCACUGGGAUAGCUAUAGAUCCGCCCCUGUUUGACCGUGUGGGUUUUGCUAGACAAGUGGGUGUGGGUAUAAAUACCAACCCUUUGUCAUUUGCAAAACUUAGAGAGAGUGAAAGAGGGUGAACUCAUUUGAGAGAGUUCCCUGUGAGCUUCAUUGUGUGGGGGAGAGAUCACCACUUGGUCUCUCCCCGGAUGUAUACUCCUUUGGUAUUAGUUCGGUUAGCUUUUAAUCGGGCCGAUUUGUAAUGUUUUACUACCGAUUAAUACAAAGAAGUUGUGUUUAUCCAUCUCUAAUCUCUCCCGUCUUGAACUAAUCUCACACUAAUCACGGUUUCGGUCCCGAAACACGGUCCUACAUGCGGCAAUCGUAGAAUUGUUAACGAAAUUGAUGUUUCUUAAAGCACAAUGGUUGUGUAUGAAAGUCUCUCCAUCUCCUAGAUGAUUUUUGAUCCCAAAAGCCUUUAACUCUAGGUCGUUGGAAUGUUCCAUGAUGGUGGAUGAACGCCGGCAAAAGGGGAAUAAGCCUAAUAGCCAGCAACAACCUCAACAACAGCUAUGCCGUUAUAGGCAUCGACCACAAUGCUCCACUAUUCAUCAACUGAUCCUUCCAGCUUCUGAAACAAGAGCGGUGGUUGGCUUUUACCAAGCGGCAACAUCUUGAGGUGGUCAUGUUAGUUGUACUAUGCCUUGUUGGUUUAUAUAUGUUUUUAUGUAUGGAGCAUAUGUAAUCAGGGUGAUGAAGGAAUCUGUCUAGUAUCUGUGGCUCGGUGUCCUGAGCAGUAUGUAUAUAUACACGCUUGAGCCUUAAUUAGCUAGUUUGAGGGUCUUAUAUCCCUGUGAUAUAUACAAGUUAAAACUUUCUCUGUGUAUGCUAUGUCCCUCUCUCUAUCUCUCUCCCCGUAGUUAUGUAUAAAUUUAAGGGAAUUGAAGAUCAUCUUUUUUACG